rnacentral:rRNA from 1 species
CUACGUGCCAGCAGCCGCGGUAAUACGUAGGGCGCGAGCGUUGUCCGGAAUUAUUGGGCGUAAAGAGCUCGUAGGCGGCUGGUCGCGUCUGUCGUGAAAUCCUCUGGCUUAACUGGGGGCUUGCGGUGGGUACGGGCCGGCUUGAGUGCGGUAGGGGAGGCUGGAACUCCUGGUGUAGCGGUGGAAUGCGCAGAUAUCAGGAAGAACACCGGUGGCGAAGGCGGGUCUCUGGGCCGUUACUGACGCUGAGGAGCGAAAGCGUGGGGAGCGAACAGGAUUAGAUACCCUGGUAGUCCACGCCGUAAACGGUGGGUACUAGGUGUGGGGGACAUUCCACGUUCUCCGUGCCGUAGCUAACGCAUUAAGUACCCCGCCUGGGGAGUACGGCCGCAAGGCUAAAACUCAAAGGAAUUGACGGGGCCCCGCACAAGCGGCGGAGCAUGCGGAUUAAUUCGAUGCAACGCGAAGAACCUUACCUGGGUUU